GCUGUGCUGAAUCUAGCGCACGCCGCACAUGCUGAAGGGGUGAAUGAAGCGGGGUGGGAAGCCGUAGCGGCGCGACGCCUCUCUCCGUCGUCUCCGAGUUUUUGGCUCUCCCUCUCUUCCUACCGUCGCCCGGCGCACCGGCCUGCCCCGCCAGCCGACGCUCCGCCGAAGCCCGCCCGCCCGCGGGCGUGCCCCGCCGGUCGACGCCCCUCGCCACCUUCGAAGCCCGCUCGCCCGCGCCCUCCGGCUGACGCCCCGCCGAAGCCCCCGACGCCCGACGACGCCCGCUCGCAGCCGCGCCCCCGCCGGCCGACGAGCGCUGGGAGGUUGUCGAACUGGUAUGACCAAGACGACCAAUGCGUAUGAUCUACCUGCAAGGUAACUAGGAAAGAAACAUUUUGCCAUUGGAUAUACUUCUUGU